GAUGAACGCUGGCGGCGUGCCUAAUACAUGCAAGUCGAGCGAACAGACGAGGAAGUUACUCCUCUGACUUUCGCGUCGGACGGGUGAGUAAAACGUGGAGAACCUACCUAUAAGACUGGGAUAACUUCGUGAAACCGGUGCUAAUUCCGGCUUAAAUUUUGAACCGCAUGGUUCAACAGUUAAAGACGUUCUUGCUGUCACUUUUCGAUGGAUCCGCGUCGCAUUAGCUAGUUGGUAAGGUAACGGCUUACCAAGGCAACGAUGCGUAGCCGACCUGAGAGGGUGAUCGGCCACACUGGAACUGAGACACGGUCCAGACUCCUACGGGAGGCAGCAGUAGGGAAUAUUGCGCAAUGGGCGAAAGCCUGACGGAGCAACGCCGCGUGAGUGAAGAAGGUCUUCGGAUCGUAAAACUCUGUUAGUAGGGAAGAACAAAUGAGUAAGUAAAUAUGCACGUAUUGACGGUACCUAAUCAGAAAGCCACGGCUAACUACGUG
rnacentral:rRNA from 1 species